AUGCUCUGUAUUGCCACCCAACUCUCUCGCCCUCCUAUUCGUUUAUCUGUCUCCAUUCUUUUCAUUUCUUUCUUAAAAGGAAAAGACCCUUAUUUUCUCUUUAUUUUUGCUCUCCUUGAUCCUGGGCUCCCUGCUAAAAGGUUACCUUCACAAUGAAUUUUCCCUUCAGCAGCACACACGAGGAUUCUGCAACUUCUCAGAUGGAAAUCCUCAGUUGUCCAUUUUUUAGAAACAUUAAUGAGCCGACUAACUUUUCUUUCUCGUCGUCCAUGCCUUUUCCCAUGCCGGUACGAGGAGCCAAAGGUCCAAUUUUCGAAGAUGGACCCAAUUUCAUGGCAUUCAGGAUUUUCCAUGGACAGGACGGAGUAGUUCCUCUGUCACAACGAUCAUCCUUGCAUGCUAAGAAAGAAGAGCCGGAAACAGCC